CACUGCCACUUUCACCACCCCAUAUCCACGCUUCGCAGAGACACCUGCAAAAACACUUCCAAUGCAAGACUCAGCCACAAAUGAGCCUCAGAGUGUGACAUCUAGGGGACACGUUGACAAAGAACCACAGGAGAAACCAAAGAGAUCCAAAAUUCCGCUGCUGCCAGGUGUUGAGGAAAUGCACACACCCUCAUGAGAGAGAUAUAAACCAUCACAGAGCAUCAGAAGUGGAUGAAACUUCUUGGCCUGGAGAAUUAAAAAAAAGAAAAAGAAAGAAAGGAAAGCACUGUGAGACUUUUGCCCCAUCACAGAUUGAAGGAAAAGGUGAAAAAAACAGAAUGUAGAAGUCAUAAAACUGCAGAGGCCUAUUAUCUAAACAUCUGACAUGACAUUGCCCCAUCUUAUAACUGAAGUUCUCAAGACUGAGUGACAAAAUCAAGAAAGAACAUGUGUUCUGAGAUAGCAUCAAUAGUAUGUUCUUUCUGUAAAUAAAGCACAUUAAUGUACUGAAUAAAAUGGAUUUCAAAAUUUGGUAA
rnacentral:antisense_RNA from 1 species